GGGCAGUAAGAGCUGCAGCGUGGGGACAGGACCCGUGGGCAGUAAGAGCUGCAGGCAUGGGGACAGGACCCGUGGGCAGGAAGAGCUGCAGCGUGGGGACAGGACCCGUGGGCAGUAAGAGCUGCAGGCAUGGGGACAGGACCCGUGGGCAGUAAGAGCUGCAAUGGGUUGAGGGUAGGGCUAAAUUUAUAAGGCAUAGGUCUAUGAGUUACUUCUUUGCAAGACAAAGGAACGAUCAAGUACAAAAGUCGCUAAAAUGAUAUCAGUGCAGGUGGGGUGUGGUUAUCGAGUGGUCCUGUAACUUUGGAUAGGAAUCAGGUCGCAUCAGGUCAGGACGUCCUGUGCUUCCCGGAGGAUGAUACAGAUCGGUAUGCAGGGCAGGACGCCUUGGCCUUCUCUCCCUGGGGCAGCCUUGAUCUUCAUCAUUAUCACUUGUAUGACCCUGGGCAAAAUAUUUAAGUUCUCUGAAACCUGUUUCCUCCUCCAAGAGGUGGAGAUAAUAUGUACCCCACACAGUUUCAGUGAAGAAUUGGCAUCCAGAACACUGAGCUGCCCUCGCCUCCCAGACCGCGAGCCUGAGUCGGCCGCUGCCCUGCACCGUGGUCCCCCAGCUCCCGAAACUGUGCUGGGAAACCCCGUUUCGCCAAGAAUGGCUAAAGCAGUGCUGCCACUGAUGAGAUCUGUUCCACGGAGACCCUCGGCCCCAGCCCUGAGGCCUGCUGGCCUGGGAGCACCCUCUCCCCAUCCUACCUCGGAAUCUUUUCGGGCAUCUCCCUUGCCUGCGGAGGAGGUAUGGGGCUUUGGAAUCGGGGACUCAGGCCCCACACUGGACUCUACCGGUGACCUCGGGACAGCCUCAGUGUCCUUGUCCCUGAAGUGGGACGCCAGUGGCCUCCUGCCAGGGUGGCUGUGAAGGUCAGUGAGGAGCAGAUGUGACCGCUGCUGGUGUGCUCCAGAGGAGGUGCGGGAUUGAGGGGCGCUGCCGAGAUGCCUGUCAGGAGGCCGGUCUUCCUUGGGUGGGAGAGUGCCGCUUCCCUGGGGGCUUCUCCUUCCCCGCAUCCCUCCAGCAUCCUCCCUCCACCCUUGAGAUGGACCCAGCUGGCUCUGGCCUCAGGGGGACCAGAAAUGUCAGUGCACAGUGUGUCUCCUCUCUCUUUCUCUUUGUCAGUCUGCCUAGAGGUUUCCACAGUGUUGAUCUACAGAGCCAGCUUUGGUUCCAACCGUCUUCCUGACGUGUGCUCUGAUCCGGUCGCCUGGGGCGUCCUAACCCGAAGGUCUCACGUUGGCUGCGGAGCCUGACACUGCCCUUCGGCAGCAGAGCGGCCUCAGCACCAGGUCUGCACCCAGGCUCCUCGGCGCCGUGGGUGUGGCCCAGGCCCCUCCCGACCUGGGAAGCGGCUAGGACAGUCACAAGCGCUCACCCUAGCAGAAGGACGAGGGUAGGGCAUCUGCACACAGUCAGCCAUUUAUGUGAGCCUCGCUGCAGCCCGGUCACAUGGGUACUAUUAUUAAACCCUUUGUACUGAUGGGGAAACUGAGGCAGGAAGAGGGGAAUCGAUUUGACCAGCAAGCCAGAGGUAGAGCCAGGUGAUCUGGCUUCAGACCGGCUUUUAACUCAGGCUGUGUGGCCCUCAAGGGAACGGGAAAACAUCACCCUCCUCUUCUCCACCACCGCCAGGCCCAGCCCAGACCCCCUGGUCCCUGCCCUGGAUCCUGCCCCAGGAACCUGCCUGUCGCCCUCCCGUCCAUGGGGGCUAGGGCCUAUAGUACCUUUCUGAAGACGAAUUCUCCCUCCUUCCCCUUUCCUGACUCUCACUGCUCUCGGGGUGCAGGCCAAAUUCCUCCCCAUGUAAGGCAUCCCCCAUCAGCCCUUCCCCCAGCCUCACCCCGGCUGUCAUCCUGUACCUGGUCCCAGCUCCAGGUACUUCUGCGCUUUGUGGCUGCACUUGACCAUGAACUCCCCGGGGGCAGAACAGCACCCCCCACUCCCCACCCCCAUCAUCUUCUGUGUCCCCAGCACAGAGAGCUCAGACAGAACAGGAGAGUUGAAAUGACCCUCCCUGGAUUGGGUUCCUUUGGGUCCCUGCCGCUUCCGAUUCCCCUCCCCCCGAGCCCAUCCUCACCCUGGGGAUCCUGGUCCACCACCCGCCCAGUGUCAAGACCCGCCUGGUCUGUGCCCCACCCACUCUCUCCCCAGUGGCUCCCAGUGCCACUCCAGGAGCUGAAUGCCAGCUCGGACUCAAUGCUCAAGGCUUUUCGGGGGGCCGUGUGCCCACCUGCAUGUGCAGCCCUAUGUCUAAGGGGCCUCCCCAACCACCCCUCCAAGGCUGGUUGGAGGACCCUGGGGCCACAGGCAGGACUUGCAGGCCUGGUGACAGGAUGGGGUUAGGGCUCAGCAGGGGCCCCUGGGCUGCAGGGGGAGCCUGGGGUGCUGCGCACCGCAUGGGGACCUCCAGGGGACAGAGGAAGUGGCGCAGAGCAGGGGUGGCCUCCGCAGCCAGAUCAGUCAGCACCGGCCGCAGCUCCAUUUCUCCCUGAGCUAAUUCAGGAAGUCACUUGGGUGGUUUGCAGAACCCUGAAUCAAUUUUCUUUUCAAGGUAAAAAAAAAUCUGCCAGGGAAGGCAGGCAGGUGGGCGGAAGCUCGAUGAAGAAUAAAUAAUGGUGCUUUGUAAUCUAAGCCACCCACGCCAGGGAAGGCCCCCGCCCCAGGACAGCGUGACCCCGCCAAGGGCACUGGCUGGGAGGGACUGGACGGGACAGAGAGAGCAGACCCUCGCUGGGCCGGGGGCUCUGGCUCUGGACCCCAGUAUUUCUGAGCCUUGGAUGGUUAGGACAGGGACACACGCGUCAUUUUAAUCUAACUGUGCUCUUUCCUGUGGCUCCUUCCUGAGGCAGGGUCCACACCGAGCUGUCAGGUGGGGCAGGCUGACAGCAGGAGGUCUGGAGGCAGGGCAGUGGGGUGAGGCCUAUCAGAACAAGUGGCCGCAAGGCAAGGCGGCACUUACCCAGAGGCCACGGGGAAAGAAGACAUAGGACAUGGGCGGGUCAGGGUUCCAUUUCUAGCUCUGCCCCUUUCCUGCUGUGUGCCCUUGAGGAAGUCACUCUCCCUCUCUGUGCUGCAGUGGCCUCACCUGUAAAUGGGUCGCGGCUGCUCCUGAAAGGAAUGUGGGGUGAUUUGGUGUGUGUCCCGCCUGCCCUGAGGGCUUUCCACUCCCUAACCACCGCCCCUGCCUCACUGUCCUUUCCCAGAGCCCAUCAGGGACUGCAGAGAGCGUCCGUCUGCACCUCCUCCAUUGAACUCUGGACUGGGCCACUGCCCUCCUUGUCUCCUUUCCAAAUCACUUCUGUCAUGGUCCCAGCAGGAAACAGAUGGCACGCGCAAACGAUUUUCUGGAAGGACUUUGGCAAAGGGACUGUUGACAGGCGUGAGAGCGGGGUUAAGAGAGUCGACAAGGGAGGCGGCACCCCAGAAACAGAGACCGACUGUCCAAGGGCCCCGGGGUGGUCAGCAGGCGCCCAAGCCGGACCCCGCUUCACAUAGGAAGUCACAGCCAUUGACGGGCAUUUUCCACCUGCCAUACAAUGUCUUUAGAGAAUGCACAGGCUGCUUCGGGACCGCCAUUCGCAGCUCUUGUGCGCACUGAGGGACCUGAAUGUCAGCUCAGACUUGGUGCGCCGAAGGCUUUUCCAGGGGGAGCGAGUGCCCACCCGGCAUCGCACCCUGGUGUCUCCCCACGGGCUGUGAGGAAUACACGUGACCGUGUGCAUGGAAGUGCCCGGCAGCGUGUUCGGAAGGAGCAGGGGCUGUGCCCGCAUACAGGAAGUGCUUAAUCAAUGUGGAGAGCAAACAAGCAGGUUCUUUGCUGAGGGGAGAGGGAGACAUGAAGGUGAGAAGGAAAAAGAUGGCUCCCGGUGGGAUGAACCAAGGAUGCUGUAUGUUUGGUUGCUGUGACCCAUGGCCACAGACGUGGUGACUUAUUACAGCCCACAGUCAUUCUCGCCCAACUCCGGAGGGCAGACGUCAGCCGUCGGUUUCACGGACCCAAAUCGAGGGCUGGCCAAGGCUGUGCUCUCUCUUGGAGCCACUCGGGGAAUCACGUCCCUGGCCAUCUCCGGCUUCUGCAGCUGCAGUCGUUGGCUCCUGGCCCCGUCCUCCAGCUUCAACAUCAGCGGGUGGCCCCCCUCCCUCCAGGCCCUGGGCUGCGGGCAAAGGAGGGGGCCCUCAGGGCCGCACUGCCCGGCCACCAGCCCUGGGGAACCUGCCGGCUGUUUUCUAACAAUUAGUGGGAGAAAGACCUCAUCCAAGCACACCCAGGGCGGCCGUUUCUCCUGGCAGUACUUUCCGGUUUGGCUCCAAAAGAAAAUAAAAACGUGAUGUUUAGUAAUCCCUUCAAAAUCGCUUGUCUAUUUUGAAGCUUCAUUAAUUAACACCAAAUACCAUUAUUUAUUAAAUUCUUGUGAUUCAUUCUAUUUUUGAAAAUUCAGCGUUGGACGCGGGAGCCCUUAUGUCUAAGUGGCCUGGCGUGAGGCUGACGGACAGUGAGCAGAUGAGGAAGCACGUUCUAGAGAGACGUGUGGGUUCACUGUGUCGCGGUCGCUCAGACUCGGGCCCGUGGUCAGUAAUGGGUGAGCAGCCCCAGCCCCAGCAUGUGACUUGCCCACACCCUCCGGGGGGCACAGACGCCCUGGAGAGGGGACACCCUGCAGACGAUGUUGACCCUGGGCCCACCCCACACGUCCCGUGUGUUGCAGGGCCCCAUGCCCCAGCCCUGGCUGCCAAGCCCCUGAAGGCCCUCG
rnacentral:lncRNA from 1 species